rnacentral:lncRNA from 1 species
ACUACUUUAUACUAUACCCAAGAAAACUCAAGCAUUUAAAACGUGAGUUGCAUAUGUAUUUGACCAGUGGGUUACCUGCUUAGAGAAUGAAAUUUUCCUCAGAACAGCACUCCACGCUUACAGAAAUACAGACGAUACCCAGCAAUCUCUGACCCAAACUGAGAGCGUACGCAUCACAGACAGACUUUCUACAGUGAUCUACUCCUUUCCGGUGUGUGUGUUUCAUCCAGAGGAAUGGCUGAGACACUCAGCCUCAUGAUGGAUGGUGUUUCUCUUACCUGCAGUUACCAGGCUUCCCUUUCAGACCAGUUCUAAUGCUGUCCGUCCAUUUGCUUAAUGCGAGCAUGUGCGUGCACAUCACAGCAUCCCCCCUACUCUGCCGAAAGCUCUGACAUAGGCACCUGUGUGUGAAAGCUACAUACUUGGGCUCCCAAGGAACAUGGCUGACUUCCUGACUAAUGGGAUGUAACACUGCUCUUUUCAUGAGCAAAAGUUUAAUCUUACCUGACUCACUUGUAGAAUCCUGAUUUUUUUUUUCCUGUAGUCAAGCUAGGAAACGCUGGAAAUGUAGUUAACAGUGUUAUACUUGUGUCAGUCACUUGAAUUUCUCCUCUGCUUUCUCAACUGCUCAUUUACUUACUGUUACAAAAAAAGGUGCUGCUAAAAGUAGGACGUCUUCAGUCACACUGUACUGCAGACAAUGCCACACUCAACUUGUCUGCUCUGCAUCCCUGUUAACAAACACUCCCUGUCACGACACUGAACUGUUUGAUGAACUUGGUUUAAAGUAAUUCAUGGAAACAAAUAAAGAGCUGGCUUCUGCACUGUUUACCAUUGGUAUUAAUUGCCACUUUGGAACGAGUGUACUAGACCUGACAUUUCACAUCUUCAUCAUCCAGUGUUAAUAGCCUGGUAUUUUUUGUAAUCUCCCUUCAAUGUCUAAUUUAAGUAAGACAAAACAACAAGGUAGGUAAGAUUUUUAAAAUGUAAACCAGAGUUUUCUUCCCACCUUAGUUCAACCUGUAGAGUAAUUCAGACUCAACUGUAGAAGUUUAUUUCCUUUUUAAGAAGAUGAACAGUUUCCCCGUCUGCUGGGGACACGACUCCGUUUCUCCUUGAUCUUCUGGUCUUAUCCAGUAAGUGUCAUAUUGCUGACUCUGGGCCUUAUUAUCUGUUUUACUUCACUUUGCUAUAUAAACUAAAAUCUAACAUAGGGUUUUAAUUAAAAUGUAUUUUUUUUACCAAAUAAAUGCUUUUUUUUCCUGUUUUCAUAGAAAUAAUCUAUAUUAAAACUAAGUAUGCUAAAAG